CUUGUACACUGAGUCAUCGGAACACUAACAAAAAUAGACAGAAAAAUCGGUUCAAAAUCUCCAUAACAUUAUAUCAUUUAACAACACACAAACAUUUAUAUAAAAUGUACACAAAUAUCAUACAUUACAAUAUAGUUUGAGAAACAGGCACAGACUGGCUCUAUUAAUUAGAGGAAUUGGGGCAAUCUUGCAUUGUUUUAAUAAUAAAACAAAAAUAUUAAAAAAGAUACCGCACUCCAAUGGGAAAUGCUCAAGAAAAAGAGGGAUUAUUAAUUUGUAUUAUACACAACGACAAUUUUAUAUUAAAAAAACAUAUACAAUUUUAAUGGUGAAAAAAAAGGGGGAAUUAUAUCCUUAUGGGGGAUAUACAGCAUAUCACUUCACACCUUAAAGAGUAGAGAAUAGCAUAAGUCCUGACCCAGUCUCAAAUUAAUAGUACAAUAUGUACAUCAGCAACGUGACCUGUAUAGUUUGUUUUUUUAUAUAAAAUUGUCUUUGUGUAUAAUAUAAAUUUAAAAUCCCACCUUUUUUAGAGCAUUUACUUUCUGAGUGCGGUAUCUUUUUUAUAUUUUCGUUUAAGCAUUUUGAGGUUUGUUAUAGGUGGGGAACCUACAUACCUGCACCAAUAUUAGAGUUUGAGUGCCAACAUAUACAUAUUUUUGUUACAUUGUUUUAAUAAUGUACAGUUCCAUUGUUGGCCACUAGGAGAGCAAAAACGCAAGGCAUCCAGGUUAUUUAGGUAGUUCGGUUUACUGUGGUCUUUUUUAUUUGUGUUUUUGUUUGUUUCUGGUAAUACCAUUAUCAGAGUUUAUUUACUAAGCUGAUAACUGUGGAAAGAUUGACUGAAAGAAUUGAAAAGUUUUGGCUGAACAACCAAAGUGACCAAACAGCCAAAAUGUAAAAAUUCACUAAAGCUAAUUUUACCUAUUUUGGUUUAAAAUCUGUACAACAAUAUAUAGACUGGGUACAACAAUACUACUGUCUCAGUUUAAUAAGCUUUCAAAAUGAUUCAUUACUGUUAAAAAACAACUUGCCAAAUGCUUUAUCUACUAAAAGUCCAAUAGACCCUACUAGUGACGUCUGUAGACAAAUCAUUUGGAAAGUCAUUCUAACAAUAUUGAAUCAUUUGGAAAAUGUAUUAGAAGUCUGCAUUUGUUUAGUUUUUGAAUUACCAGGUACUUUGCAAGAAUAUUUUCGAAAUAGAAUUUUAGUUCCAUCACGUGAGAACACAGGUCACACAAAAAUGAAUUAAAUACUUUGUUAAAACACAGAAAAGACAUAUUUAUUUCUUAAUAUAUUAACGUGAAAGCAUGCAUUCAAGUAUUUACAACGAUUUACUCAAGGCUUGACUCCAGAAAAGAGAAUUUAAACCUGAGAAAUACAUUUUUGGUAAAACAAAGUAAUGACAUUAAUUUCCCAAUAUGUUUAAGUGAAAGCAUGCGUUUAAUUAUUUUUGUUACUUAACUCAAGGCCUAAUUUAGAAGCGUUGACUAUGAUCUAUUCCAUGACAAAAUGUUUUUAACAUUUUGGAAAUCAAAGGAGUAAGAUGCACAGUGAACAAAAAAAAUGCUUUGGUUUAAAAUGAAAGAUUUGAACUGGAUACCGCUUAGAUGUUACUUACUGUGAAGUUCAUAUUUAUAACACAAGCUAGGUAUAACUAAGCCACAUCAUUUGUUACAUAUAAAUAUUUACUGUUGCUCUGCUGUAGGUCUGUGCUGCUAACAAUUUCUUCAAAUAUUCUGUAUCAGAAAAUCCACUUUUUAGAAUAUUAAAUUUCGGUUCUGUCAUCUGUUCCGUGUCCGCCAUUCAGGCCUGGCAGCUGCAACUCAACCUAUCCCAAUGUUUUAUUUGAGCCACCAUCUUCCUUCAUGUUCCUAAGACAUGCUGGGAAUUCCAUGUUCUACCAGUAAUUGGGAAUGCACAUGAAAUGACCCAACGGAAGUCUCUAAUCUCACAAGAGUCAAUACAGAGUGGUGAUGCCAAACUGGAAGGAGGUCAGUACAGCCCAUGACAAGAUUGACAAAAGCUCCAUCUUGAAAAAAUUGCCAAAAGUUCCAUUUUGUUUCUUUAUUAAAAAUCAAGCUUAUUUUUUGAGUUAUACAUAAGGAAAAGUAGGGACUGCAUAACUCUAGCAGUAGUAGGGAGCCAUAGUGACCAAUAUUGAAGGGUUGAAACCGACAGAUGAGGGGAUUUAAGACAAGCCUAAGGGGAACACAAAGUGAAAUCACUGCUUUAAAAACUAUUUUCAUGGAACAAUACAUUAGAGUUAAUUAGAUACAAUGAAUAUAUAUAUAUAUAUAUAUAUUCAGUUCAAGGUGGUCAGCUUGUGCAAGGCCUCCUACCCUGAAUAUAAUCACCAGAGAGACCCUCCAGUGGUGUCUAGGGCUUAACCCCUGUGAAAAAAUGAAGAAAGAAAAAAGUUAUAAUAUCCACAUGCAAAAACGAAAAAUGAUCUUAAAUGUGGAUAUACACUGGAAGGUAAUAAACAAUGUUAAAACAUUCACUUGUCCAAGAGAAGAGUUACUGAGAAAGUCUAUUGAAUCUAAAGCUCUUAGAUUUUCUCUGACUGAGAAAUACUGACUCAAGGGUGCCCCAUAAUUAACAGGCUUUAUUAAUGGUGGCCAGAAGUUGGAGGGAUCCUAAAAAGAGUCGUGUGUUAGUUGAUAGUCCAGAAUGUUGUGCUGUUAGAAAAAAUGUUAAGGAGAUUGGUUUCCAGUACUUGCUAUUAUGAGUAGUCACUCCAAUAUGUGGAGUCAGUAAAUAGUCACCUUAAAGCCAAUUAAUUCAAACAUUUGCUCAUAAGUUUAAACAUUUCCUCAUCAGUUGUAAUUACUAGCAUCAAUGUGUGAAUUUAGGCAGAGCAAGGUACAUUUUAUAAUAGAAAUCUCCUGUAGUACUGUAUUCUUACAUGCUUAGAGAUAGUGAAGCAUAGAUAAAGAAAAGCCUCUCUCCCUGGUAAACUAAGUAAAUAGUCAGAGAUUGGAAAUAGAGUGAAAGAAAAAUUAACGUGUUAAUCCAUUAUAUCAUGUUAAAAUAUGCAUGAUAAAUUACACCAACGUGAGUGCAUGUAAAGGUGCCCUGUGAAGAUCAAACGUUGCCCGACGCGCGUUUCGGUGCACAGCGAGUGCACAGCGU